AUGCCGGAGCUGCCAACGCUGGAUGAAGAUCUGCUACAAUCCCAGGUGCCAACGGCCAUUCUUCAACGACGCACGGUGCAGCGAGGCGCGCGACAAGUCGAUCAAGUACUCGUGCAGUGGUCUGGCUUCCCCUCGUCGCUGGCUUCCUGGGAAGAUGCAAUUCCCUUGCAGGCGCGUUUUCCUCGGGCGUUGGCUUGGGGACAAGCCAAAACUAAAGGGGGAGGAAAUGUCACGAGAACUACGGUGGCGGACCCCAAGGCCGGCUCCGCUACGGCCCAGCCCAGGCCCAGGCGGGAGAGGAGGCCCAACUCGUGCGUCACCGGACCGACCUGGAGCAAGUGA
rnacentral:rRNA from 1 species